GCGAACGGACGAGAAGCUUGCUUCUCUGAUGUUAGCGGCGGACGGGUGAGUAACACGUGGAUAACCUACCUAUAAGACUGGGAUAACUUCGGGAAACCGGAGCUAAUACCGGAUAAUAUAUUGAACCGCAUGGUUCAAUAGUGAAAGACGGUUUUGCUGUCACUUAUAGAUGGAUCCGCGCCGCAUUAGCUAGUUGGUAAGGUAACGGCUUACCAAGGCAACGAUGCGUAGCCGACCUGAGAGGGUGAUCGGCCACACUGGAACUGAGACACGGUCCAGACUCCUACGGGAGGCAGCAGUAGGGAAUCUUCCGCAAUGGGCGAAAGCCUGACGGAGCAACGCCGCGUGAGUGAUGAAGGUCUUCGGAUCGUAAAACUCUGUUAUUAGGGAAGAACAAAUGUGUAAGUAACUAUGCACGUCUUGACGGUACCUAACCAGAAAGCCACGGCUAACUACGUGCCAGCAGCCGCGGUAAUACGUAGGUGGCAAGCGUUAUCCGGAAUUAUUGGGCGUAAAGCGCGCGUAGGCGGUUUUUUAAGUCUGAUGUGAAAGCCCACGGCUCAACCGUGGAGGGUCAUUGGAAACUGGAAAACUUGAGUGCAGAAGAGGAAAGUGGAAUUCCAUGUGUAGCGGUGAAAUGCGCAGAGAUAUGGAGGAACGCCAGUGGCGAAGGCGACUUUCUGGUCUGUAACUGACGCUGAUGUGCGAAAGCGUGGGGAUCAAA
rnacentral:rRNA from 1 species